rnacentral:snoRNA from 1 species
AAGGCUAGUACUUUCAGGGAUCAUUUCUAUAGUUUGUGACUUGAGAAAUUUGUUUCUAAAGUGAUGGUCCGCUGCCCCGAUGAAAGUUGGUGAAUAACUCCUUCUUGAAACAUGAAGAAAGUAGAGACUUGGUCAAUCAAUUGUUCUUUGCUCACUGAUGAACUGUUCACUGUUUCUUUUAGAGACAGUGUGUGAAUGAGUAUGAUUGAGUGGC